CGGGCCAACCUCGGGCUUAACGGCCCACCCUCGGGCUUACCAGCCCUCCCAAACCAGGUGGGGCCCCACAAACGCUUCCCCUACCCAGUGCGGGCGGAGAAGCGGGGUCCAUAUGGCAGGUGAAGACGAGAAUCCACUCUGGAGCCGGAUUUGCCUUCUGCAGAAUGCAGACUAGCUGAAUCAUCAGCCCCAUCGCCCAAGGCAGGCAAAACAAGUGGAAUUCUUCAAAGACCAUACCUGGAUGGGGAAAUCCUCGGGGAAGGCCGGGGAACCCUGGGACAUCUUCCGCGAGGUGCAGGCCCUACCAGGCCUCGGGAGGAGGCAGGCCAAGGAGGAAGCGCUGCCCAAGUGUGGAAUCUGCUGCCCAAGUAUGGAAUCUGCUACCCAGGGAGAGGGGCCAAAGUGGGCACUGCUCUCCCAGGGACCCCUAUUCCAGUGUGUCUGGGACCCACAAAAUCCUCCGUCCAGCAACCACAGCAACAGAAUCAGUCCUGACCCAACAUGACAGUCCCAAGUGACAAAAAGUUUGAUUGUAGCCAGGCGUGCCUAUAAUCCCAGGACUCCAGAGGC
ensembl:lncRNA